GAAAGGCAGAGGAAGUUGAUCUUCUUCACAUAGAGCUAUAAGUAACUUAGACACUAUGGUGACACUCAUUGGGAAAAGCAAUCUGAGGGGCCCAGUUUCCUACUUGGAUUCCCACACAGCAGAGCGCUGUAUCUGGAGGAUGACCCAGCAGUGUAUCCUGUAGGACAGGCUCAACAUAACUUGCUGCUGAGAUGCAUCUUCUCUGCACUGUGAGAAAUGAGCCUUUCUCUGCAGUUUAAGUCACAGCGGUAAAUAAGCAGUGAAAAAAGGACCCCGAGUCAAACCUUUUCCUGGGCUGGGUGCUUGCAGCACUGCUGGUGUAACGUUAACAUUACGUGGCUUUAUAAUGAACAUGUGCAUAGUUGGAUUUAACGGCCAGUGGUUCGGCUGAGCAAACAUUUAGAGGGAACGAGAGGAGGAAAAACAUGUAUUUUCUUUAGCCAAUACAAAGGAUGACUAAUUACAUCAGGAACAGCUGCGGUGCCCCUGAAAGGACAGAAGACCAGCUGAUUUCUGCCACGCUUCCCCAGCCAACUGGCAACACCUGAGCACUGCAAGUGGAAUUUAAUCUCCCAGAUGGAAAGCAAAUCAAUCUGCCCAUCGCUGCAGCUGAGGUGUACUUUGGCUCAACUUUAAUUUAUUCUCCGAAGCCGAAGGAAGCUGGUCAUUUCAAGGUACAGAAAUAUCACAUUUCUCCUGUUAACCAGCCUGGUAAAAGGAAAGGGGGGGGAAAAAAAAGGAAGAGUUGGGAUUUGGAGGGCUAUGCUGUGAAAUGUUGUCCUUGCUUUGCAUUAGGAAACAGCAGCAUCAUCUCCCUUUGAUUCCUGUGCGUGGAAUCUGACAAGGAAGAAGCAUUUAUGAGCCGGGUGCUAGUGAUAAUGGUUAAACAUGAGUUGUGGAGGCAUUAAGUGGGAUUCUAUGGAGGAAUGAACUAAAUCUCUGAAGAACUCAACACAAAAAGGAAUUGGUGGCAAUUCUGAAGCACUUUAGCCAGUGUGCAAUAGUCUGGUUCCCAUUGGGUUUCACGCCAGGGAUAUAAAUACAAUCUUUCUACUUACCUGCGCUCUUCAGGCCUAUCAAUUAUGCUGCUCCCUCUGAGUUGCUGUUACAACUGUAGGUAUUACUGUCCUCUGCAAAACCAGCACAGAGCAGAGUAUGUGACUAGUUUCCAUGGGCUGCAGACCUGAUCUUUGAGUGGCCAGGCAACUACAGCUCCUAUUUUUUCAGGCUGGAAACCCAAUUUUAGCUGGGAUCAAAGGGAAAACGAGCUCACAAAAACUUGAGGUUAACAAACAUAGGGGAAAUUAGAGCCUGGUUUUUCUGCAGACUUCUGCUUGUUUGGCUAACAAGGAAUGCUCUCCCUUGUCAGCCUGUAUGUGGUACCUACAUCCCAUCUGUGUUUUUUACCUUCUGCUGUACCUUCUCUGAAUUCUUAAUUUCCCAGACUCAUUGGCUGUAUACACUUUGGCUUUGGAGAGGUCACAGACCAAAGAGUUCCUGAUUCCUUUUGACUGGAAAAUAAGCAUUUCUAAGAGUGCUUUGCUCAUGCCUUGUGAGUCAGAUUCCAGCCUCCUUGCACUUGUACAAAUACUUGGCUGUUUUACUGCA
ensembl:lncRNA